UACAGAGGUGGCAAGCGUUGUUCGGAAUUACUGGGCGUAAAGGGCGCGUAGGCGGUCUUGUCAGUCCCUUGUGAAAUCCCCCGGCUCAACUGGGGAACUGCACGGGAAACAGCAGGGCUUGAGUUCGGGAGAGGGAAGCGGAAUUCCGGGUGUAGCGGUGAAAUGCGUAGAUAUCCGGAGGAACACCGGUGGCGAAGGCGGCUUCCUGGACCGAUACUGACGCUGAGGCGCGAAAGCGUGGGGAGCAAACGGG
rnacentral:rRNA from 1 species